rnacentral:rRNA from 1 species
GAGAUGGGACUAAGGUAUGCUAGUCGAACGACCAGAACUAUGUCUGGGAGUGGCACACUGCUCAGUAACACGUAGCUAACCUACCCUUAGGACGUGGAUACCCCCGAGAAAUUGGGGUUAAUCCGCGAUAGAUGUAAUGUCCUGGAAUGGUAUUACGUCUAAAGGUAUUUCAUACAUGUUUGAAAUAUGCCUAAGGAUGGGGCUGCGGCCGAUCAGGCUGUUGGUGAGGUAAUGGCUCACCAAACCUUUGACCGGUACGGGCCAUGAGAGUGGUAGCCCGGAGAUGGACACUGAGACAAGGGUCCAGGCCCUAAGGGGCGCAGCAACCGCGAAACCUCCACAAUGCACUCACGUGCGAUGGGGCUAUCUCGAGUGCCACCUGAUGAAGGUGGCUUUUCCUUGGUCUUCAAAGCCUUGGGAAUAAGAGGGGGGCAAGACUGGUGUCAGCCGCCGCGGUAACACCAGCCCCUCGAGUGGUGGGGAUGAUUAUUUGGCCUAAAGCGUCCGUAGCCGGCCGUGAAAGUCUUCCGUUAAAUCCAGCGUCUCAAGCGUUGGACCGCGGGAGAUACUACAUGGCUAGAGAGUGGGAGAGGUCAGCGGUAUUCUGGGGGUAGGGGCGAAAUCCUUUGAUCCCCGGAGGACCACCAGUGGCGAAGGCUGCUGACUAGAACACGUCUGACGGUCAGGGACGAAAGCUGGGGUAGCGAACCGGAUUAGAUACCCGGGUAGUCCCAGCCGUAAACGAUGCAUGCUAGGUGUUGGGUUGGCCACGAGCCACCCCAGUGCCGCAGGGAAGCCGUUAAGCAUGCCGCCUGGGAAGUACGAUCGCAAGAUUGAAACUUAAAGGAAUUGGCGGGGGAGCACCACCAGGCGUGAAGCCUGCGGUUUAAUUGGAUUCAACGCCGGA